GAUGAACGCUGGCGGCGGGCUUAACACAUGCAAGUCGAACGGCAGGGCCCUGCUUGCUUGCGGUGCUCGAUGGCCGAACGGGUACGUAACAGGAGAGUAUCCUGACCUUGACUUUGGGAUAACUUCAGGAAACUGGGGCUAAUACCGGAUAGGAGCUCCUGCUGCAUGGUGGGGGUGGGAAAGUCUAGGCGGUUGGGGAUGGACGCGCGGCUUAGCGGCUUGUUGGUCGGGGAGUGGCUUACCAAGGCUUUGACGGGUAGCCGGCCUGAGAGGGUGACCGGGCACCUGGGGACUGAGGUACGGGGCAGAGUCGUACGGGAGACAGCAGUGGGGAAGUUUGCCCAAUGGGCGCAAGUGUGAUGCAGCAACGCCGCGGUCGGGAUGACGGCCUGCGGGUAGUGAACCGCAGUCGGGUGUGACGAAGCGUGAGUGACGGUAACGAAUGAAGAAGCACCGGCUAACUACGUG
rnacentral:rRNA from 1 species